UACGAGGGGGGUAAGUGUUGUUCGGAAUCACUGGGCGUAAAGGGAGCGUAGGCGGAUGUUUAAGUGGGAUGUUUAAAACCGGGGCCUAACCUCGGAGCGGCAUCCAAAACUGGGCAUCUUGAAUAGGUCAGAGGCUGGUGGAAUUGGAGGUGUAGCGGUGGAAUGCGUAGAGAUCUCCAAGAACACCUAUUGCGAAGGCAGCCAGCUGGGACCAUAUUGACGCUGAGGCUCGAAAGCAUGGGGAGCAAACGGG
rnacentral:rRNA from 1 species